UCCAUAUUAAUCAGAUAUAAGUGCUUUGUGGCCAAAGCAAAGAGAAGUGUCGAAUUAAUUUGUCUUUUGUUUAGCUGGUUAAGUGCCUUUCAUGUGUAAUUCAACUCACGUCAGGAAUGUUUUAAGGGAUAUUGAAAACAAGACAUGACGUUACCCUCCAAAAGUUUACAUUCCAGUAGCGCUAUUAUCAUAUGACUGACAAGGAUUCAAAAAUUGCUAAAUGUUGUAAGAAAAGGACAGAACAAGAGCUGAGGGAAUUCAGAGAACAGAGAGAUUAUUUCUAAUUCGAGUGACAGCAUGUGGAGUCAGAGAAGGCUUCUUGAAGGAAAUUGCAUCUGAGCUGAAUGAACAGGAUCUGAGAUUGUGGUGAGGCUCUGGAUACGCUUUAUCCCACCUCAGUUUCUCUGGUGAGGCCCUUUGCCAUGUAAACUGGUUGUGGUCAAAUGGAAAUAUUUGAAGGGUUGCCACGUGGAAGAGGGAUUUAGGCCUAUUCUGCAUGGUCCCAGAGGAUAGAACUCAGAUGAAGAAGAUGGUAACUGCUGCGGAGAGAUGGAUUUGGACGCUACAUAAAGAUCAACUAUAAGAAUCCCGCACCCCCACCCGAGGAACAUGAAGCCCGCAGAGAUUCCUCCUUCUAUUCUACAGCUGAGAAAUAUCCAGUACUCAGAGCUGGCACAGCAAGACUCUUCACCAAAAACACCCCUUCUUGUUACAAACACCAUUAGGCCCCCACAUCUUCAGAUCUUUUGCCCGAUGUCCUUGAACAUAAGACAACUCUGUCUGGAUGCUGUGAAAGUUUACACGUUGUGCCAUUACCGGCUUUGCAGAAGAAUACUGCUUUGGAGAACAGAGAGGAUUUGAAUGGUUAAACACUUAGGUAUGAUGGUCAUCACCAUUUUACAGACGAGGAAACUGGCGCAAAGAAAGUAGGAAAGCCUGGGACCCUCAUGUCAGAUGACAAGUUCAGUCACCUCAAUGGUGAGUCAAAGCUGAGGACUGUCUUAGAAUUGGCUUCUCGUAAAGCAAGAAUGACGGAGGAGAGGAAAUUAGCUGAAGGAUGUUCUAGGCAGUCUUCUCCCUGUGCAGGCAGCCAGAGAAAGCCUGGCUCAGGGAACCUGUCCUACAUGGCUUCUGCUGGUGGUUCGAGGAGGUCUGUGGUUUACCUUAGUAGGGAAGAGGACAACAAUUUUGGAAGAGGAAGAGCCAAGCUGUUGAAUGACUCUCUUCCAGACUCCACCUUCCUGUAUUCGUUGUGCAAUAUCGUUGUGAAAUCUGUUUUUUCUCUUGAGAAAAUGUGAUGAAGUUUAUAACUCCAAACUCAGCUCUGAUCAAGUCUCCUGCUGCUCGAGAGCCUCCAAUAGUGAUUUCCCAUGGCCCCAGUCAGCAGCCUCCAAACUUUUCUGAAUAUGUAGCCCCACCGGUAAAAAGAUUUGCCUGUACUUCAAAUAGAUGUAUAAGUGUGUGUGCAUGUGUGUAAAGUCAUGCCAAUAAAUUAUGCCCAUUAUAAAAAUAAAAAAUGGAAAUUAUAAGAGAAGAG
rnacentral:lncRNA from 1 species